CCGACGUGGUCAUCCAGCGAGGUUGCUCUCCUGGCUCUGUCCUGGUGGCGUAUGGGAGCGUAGCUUUCGAGCUGAGACGUACAUUCCCGUUCCACGACGUCGGAGACUAAGCUCCGCCUCCCGGCCGUUGGUCGGUGAGGACGUGGCGUCCUGCAUAUUCCUACAUCUUCCCAGAGUCCUUUGGGGCUGUGACUGGGGGGCUAAACCAUGCAGUGCACAGCA
rnacentral:snoRNA from 1 species